rnacentral:snoRNA from 1 species
GAUCAGUGAUGACAAAUCUAAGGCUUGUUUCUCAAAACAUUCGCAGUGGCCGCCCAAGAGCUUUCGCCUUCGCCAGGCUUGAGAGCUAGUGCUGUUUUAUCCUUCCUUGGAUGUCUGAGAUU